CGGUUCCCAUACGUUCAUUGAAGUUAAGCAACGUAGAGCCUGGUCAAUACCUAGAUGGGUGACCGCUGGAGAGUAACAGGUGCUGUAAG